CCCUUAGACGUUCUGGGCCGCACGCGCGCUACACUGACACAGGCAACGAGCUUUCCUUUACCGAAAGGUAUGGGUAAUCUUUCGAAACUGUGUCGUGCUGGGGAUAGAUCCUUGCAAUUUUUGAUCUUAAACGAGGAAUUCCUAGUAAGCGCGAGUCAUCAACUCGCGUUGAUUACGUCCCUGCCCUUUGUACACACCGCCCGUCGCUACUACCGAUUGAAUGGCUUAGUGAGGCCUCAGGAUCCGCGCUUAAUGUGUGGAGAAUUUGGACAAACUACGUCAUUUAGAGGAAGUAAAAGUCGUAACA
rnacentral:rRNA from 1 species